AGGCAGCUCUCCCUAACCCUCCAGCACUGGGCAAACGCUGCCCGAUGACGCCCGCCUCGGGGGCCACGGCAUCACUGGGGCGACUGCGAGCCCGGCCGCGGAGCCGCUGGGACGCGGCUUACCUCCCGGCUGUCGCUGCUGUGUGUGUUGCCCGCGCCAGUCACGUCCCUAAUGGGACCCUCCGUUUCGGCGUCUGUAAGGCGAGGAGGACGAUGCGUCCCCUCCCUCGCAGGAUUGAGGAUUUCCAGGUCCCAGAUGAAGAGAUAAUUCUACUUACUGGAUAUAGGAUGCAUUAGAUCUUCUUACCUUAAAAAAAAAAAAAAAGGCAGCAAUGAUCAAAAUACUAAUAAAUUACUCACAGACUCAGUGUAUUUUUUCUUGGAGUAAAAGUCCAGGAUGGGUAAUAGAAUACCUGCUGUUGGCUUUUGGAAAAAUUGGUACUGUAUGUAGCAAAAUAAUGUGAAACCCAUAUGCAUGGAUAUUCUUAACAAUUUGAAGAAAUCGUCACAGCUUUCCUGGGUUGUUGAGCCUCUAAGAUGGUCUUUUCCUCUGAUGUGAUAAUAAAGUGUUUAUUCUGAACUCUACA
rnacentral:lncRNA from 10 species